rnacentral:lncRNA from 1 species
UAGACUUCUUGUUAUUCUUGUCAUUCAGCCUCCAAGGUGUCCAGACAGACAGGAGUCUAGCAUGGCUGGUCUCUCAGAGCCUCCUCCACUCAGCAGCUGACUCGGAUGGAUACAGAGGCCAGCAACAAGACAGUGGAUGGAGCUUGGGGAAUUUUAUGAGAGUUUGGGGAAGGAUGGAGGGCCCGGAAGGGGAUAGAAACUCCAUAGGAAGACCAACAGAGUCAACUGAUCUGAACUCUUGGGGCUCUCAGAGACUGAACCACCAACGAAGGAGCAUGCAUGAGCUAGAUCUAGGCAGAUGUAGCAGAUUUGUAACUUAAGUCUUCAUGUAGAUCCC